rnacentral:lncRNA from 1 species
GAGCUCUUGAUACCACAGUCAGAAAGAUGAGGAUGAACCAGCCAAUAUUUCUGAGAAGGAGUAGACAGUGAUGGAGGAGGAAACCCAGAAAGUGUAGCAUCCUGAAAACUAAGUGAAGAAAGUGUUUCAUGAGGACUGAGAGAUUGAAUAGAAUGGGUUGGAUGAUUGAGGACUGACCAUUGGAUUUGAAAACACUGAAAUUGUUGACAACUUUGAUAAGAGCUAUUUAUGGGCAUAGUGGCAUUGAGAGAAUGAGAGGAGGAGUGGAGAUGGCAGGUAGAGAUCGCUCUUUCUAGGAGUUUUCCAGAGAAAUGGGCUGGAGAAAAAUACUGAUAGAGACUUUAAUUUGCUUUUUAAAGAUAAAAAAUGUUUGCUUGUUAAUGGUAUUUAUCUAGUAGACAGAAGAAAUUUAGCCUUAGAUACAAGUAUGAAUUGUCUACCUUAAAAAAAUUUUUUUUGGAGUUGGGGACUCACUCUGUCAUCCAGGCUGGAGUGCAGUGUCAUGAUCAUAGUUCACUGUAACCUCAAACUCCUGGCCUCAAGGAAUCCUCCUACCUCAUCGUUCUGAGUAGCCGUGAUUACAAGCAUACAGCACCAUGUUCAGGUACUUUAAAAAAAACUUUUUAGAGAUGGGAUUUCCCUGCGUUGUCCAGGCUGAUUUUGAAUUCCUAACCUCAAGUGAUCCUCCCACCUUGGCAUCCCAAAGCACUGAUUACAGGUAUAAGCCACCCCACCUGGCCACUGGUUUUUAAAUUCUACUUUUUGUAGUAACCCAUAGCUGUUAAGAGUUAUGGCUUAUUUAUGACUUGGUUCUUUCUCUAAGCUUGAGGAGAACAUAUCAUUCCAAGUCAUUUUAGUUGGAUUAGGGCUUUGAGACCUAUAGAUAGCUUAAAUUUACAUUCUUAGCACACUCAGCUUCUGCUUUACCUGAAAGAUUUUUGAUGGCCAUAAACUUUUUCACUUUUCUAACCAUAAAAUUAUCCAUUUCCAUCUAUCAUUUUGCAUUGUAGCCUAAAAAAGUAAUAAAGAAAUAUAGAUUUCAGGUAAUUUUUUUUUUUUGAGAUGGAGUCUUGCUUUGUCACACAGGCUGGAGUGCAGUGGCGCAAUCUCGGCUCACUGCAACCUCUGCCUCCUGGGUUCAAGCGAUUCUCCUGCCUCAGCCUCCUAAGUAGCUGGGAUUACAGGUGCCUGGCACCAUGCCUGGCUAAUUUUCAUAUUUUUAGUAGAGACAGGGUUUCGACAUGUUGGCCAGGCUGGUCUCAAACUCAUUUUCAGGUAAAUUUUAAAGACAUAUCUACUCUAAGAAUCCUCUUGCUCCUUUUCUAGUUAUAAAAGGAUGUUUUUCUCUUUAAUACAAAAUUAUUUUGUUUUUCUCUAUCAAUAGAUAUUUAGCUGAUAAGCGUCCACCAGUGGAAUUCCUGAAUCUGUAUACAACUGGUAUCCUUGCCAACAGUGAAUGCAAGACUUCCAGAUCACUUACAAAUCAGGCUCUUUUAAAAGAUCUUCCUCAUUGUCUUUUCUGGAAACAUUUAAAAACCAGUUUAAUCAGAACCAAAGACAGUUUUAUUUUCUACUGAAAGAAAAUUAACAUUUCUUAUCAAUGUUAGUGGGUUGUGGUAAGGAUUCACUAUCCCCACUGUUUUUCAUUAAUGGCCAAGUUUGUUUCUGACUUCUCUUUUGCUUAAUCCCCUGUGGAAUAGAGUCAAGUGCAUGUUUUUUUAACAUACAACUAUUUUCUCUACACCCCAGGAAAUGUGAACUGUGUGUCACAUCCAGUAAAACAUGGUGCCUCCAACCAUGGAGUCUGCUUUAUUUGAACAUUUAAUUUUUGCUUUUCAGAGUGUUAUAAUUUUACCUUUCUUGUUCAAUCUAAGGCAGAAUGAGUGGUUCUUUUGAGUCUCCUUAUUCUAAUAUUAGAUUUCCCAAACUAAAUUCCCUCUUUACUAUGCACAAUUCUAGAUUUAAAUAUGAUGUAAAAAAUUCUACUGUCUUUGUGUGCUGAUUUAAUGUAUCUCCUGUGUUAAAAGCAAGAUUGAAAACGGACAUGCAGAUGGACACAGCCAAAGAAUCAAUGAGCUUGAAGAUAUGGCAGUGGAAACUUCCCAAACUGAAAUGGAAAGAGAAAAGAGAAGAAUAAUGCAAAAGUCAAUAUACUUUUAAAGGACCAGGAUAAAAAACAAAACAAAACAAAAAAAACACCCAACCAGAGCAGAACAUCUAAAAUCUGUGGGAACAGUAUCAAGAUGUGUAUAUGUGCAAUCAGGAAUACCAGAGGGACACCAAACCACAGAUUCCGAAGCACAGAAAAUAACAAGCAGGAUAAAUAACAAAAGGCUACACUUACACAUAUUAUAGUCAAACUGCGACAAAGAGAAAAUCUGUCAAGAAGCCAGAGUAAAAAAAAAAAAAAACAAAACCCACCUCAUCUACAGAGGAACAAGAAUAAAAAUUACAACAGGCUUCUCAUCAGAAAUUAUGCAAGAACAUGAAGUUUUUAAAGUGAUGAAAGAAAAAAUCCUCAGCAACCUGGAGUUCUUUUUCUUUUUUAACUUCUAAUUUUUGUGGGUACAUAGUAGGUAUAUAUAUUUAUGGGGUGUUUGGGAUAUUUUGAUACAGGCAUAUAUGUGUAAUAAUCACAUCUGGGUAUAUGGGUUUCCAUCACCUCAAGCAUGUAUCCUUUGUGUUACAAACAAUCCAGUUAUAUUCUUUAGUUAUUUUUAAAUUUAUGAUUAAAUUAUUACAUCACCAUGUUGUGCUAUCAAAUACUAGAUCUUACUCAUUCUUUUUAAACUAUUUUAUAUACCCAUUAACCAUCUCCAUUUCCCUCCCACCACUCCUCAAUGGCCCUUCCCAGCCUCUGGUAACCAUCAUUCUACUCUCCAUGAGUUCAAUUAAAAAAAUUUUUAGUACUCACAAAUAAAUGAGAGCAUGAGA